AAAUUCCCGUACCGCCGCACCACUCUUCUCUCCUCCGUCUCAUCUGUGGAUUUCCCCACCCACCGAACCCCACCCUUCCACCAUGGCGAACCCGGUCGCCGCCUCCAACUCCGACUCGUCGCCGCCCGCGCCCAUCCACCACCUGCCGCCGGACGCGCUCCGCAACGUUCUGCUCCGCCUGCCUCUGCGCGACGCCGUGGUGUGCCGCACCGUCUCGCGCCUCUUCCACGACACCCUCUCCUUCCAGUUCCUCGCGACGCUCCCCUCCCUGCGCCUCCUCCUCCUCCGCCACCCGCGCCCCGAGGGCGGCGGCUGUCUCCACGCCUUCGACCCCGCGCGCCGCCACUGGCUCCGUCUGCCCUUCACACACUUCCUCCCCUACCAGUCCUUCUCCCCUGUCGCGUCCUCGCCAUCCCUCCUCUACCUCUGGGUCGAGACCUCCACAUCGCCCGCGCCUCCGUCCCUCCCGUCCACCUCCUCCUCGUCCUCCUCGACUGCACACCCGCCCAAGUCGCUCGCCGUCUGCAACCCCUUCGCCGGCACGUACCGCCUCCUGCCCCCGCUCGGAUCCGCCUGGGCGCGCCACGGUACCGUCCUCGCGGGGCCGGGCGGCACGGUGCUCGUCCUCACGGAGCUCGCGGCGCUGUCCUACACCCCGUCCGGAUCCGGCAAGUGGAUGAAGCAUCCCCUCUCGCUACCGUCAAAGCCGCGGAGCCCCAUACUGGCCUCCGGUGCCGCCGCCGUGUUCGCCCUCUGCGACGUGGGCACCCCGUGGCGCAGCCAGUGGAAACUCUUCUCCUGCCCGCUUGCCAUGCUCACGGGCGGCUGGGCUCCCGUGGAGCGCGCCGCCUGGGGAGACGUCUUCGAGAUCCUCAAGCGCCCCCGCCUCCUUGCCGGGGCUGCCGGUCGCCGCGUCCUUAUGAUCGGCGGCCUCAGGUCCUCGUUCGCCAUGGACGCGCCGUGCUCCACAGUGCUCAUCCUCCGCCUAGAUCUGGCCACAAUGGAGUGGGAUGAAGCUGGGCGCAUGCCGCCCAAUAUGUACCGUUGCUUCACUGGCCUUUGUGAGGCUGCUGCACAAGGCAACGCCAUGCCCACUGCUGCUGCCGGUGGCAACAAUAAGGUGAAGGUAUUUGGGGGUGAUGGGAAGGUGUGGUUCGCUGGAAAGCGAGUGCGUGGGAAGCUUGCAAUGUGGGAGGAGGAUGAGACGGGGAGCAGCGGUGGCAAGUGGGACUGGGUGGACGGUGUUCCUGGGAAUAGCGAUGGUGUAUACCGUGGCUUUGUGCUCGAUGGUGGGUUCACAGCAAUUCCUUGACGCUGAUGGAAAAUGUAUCUUUGUCCGGUGCUGAGCAUGUGGUACUAGGGGUGUUAAAAAAAAGAUGCUGAAUCGUCCUCCAUCGAUCGUGGAAACGGCACCAAUUGGCAAGCUUACAUAUAUCUGGAUUGCAGGACUAGAGACAAGAAAAAAGAGAGAGAGAGAAGAUUCAGAAGCCUGCAUCGUUCCUACCAAAUGCCGUGGAAGUAGUGCAAAAUUCCAAGUUUUUGUUGCCAACACUGGCUGGAACUUGGAAGAUUAACGGGCCCGAAACGAGAAGGAAACAAAACGGGCAUCUGCAAUCCUGAAUCCAGCUGGAUGUUCUGCCGUGCCUGGUGAUCCCACGACCACCGUUUGGACUUUGGAUGCACUCUGUUUGGUCCACCUCUUUCGAUCCCAGUACCGUACGCCCCUGCAGGAACGUGCUCCACACGUAGAGAUAACCUAUACGAGACAGCUUCAAGUUGAUCAUGGCACAUCGAAGCUUGAAACUGGGUGAGGUCAAGGGUGGUAUCUUGUGCCCAGCUGCGCAGAAUCUUGUAAGGUGUAAACCAAGAUUUGGCAUUUGCGAUCUUCAGUUUCGCCGUUGCUCCGGUCACUGACGCCGACGUCCAGGCAAGACGACAGGAUUGUUGACUUAGCGUGCAUCUGAUUCCGAGAGCCCGACGAAUCUUCCAGGAGUCACUGCCGCGUGGGACCAACGGGCACGGCGCACGAGGCGAUGCCAAUCUCCCGUACUCGCGGAAAGCUCCCCAC